GCGCAUUCUUAAACCCUCUUGGCGGCGCUCCGAUCGCCCCCAGGAUAUGAGUGAAUGCGAUAGAAACCGCAGGGGAGUCCAAAGGGCUGCGCCCCCUCCCCGUGGCGCGGCCUUAUUUCAUACCUGCGACAUCA
ensembl:snoRNA